CUCCAAUAGCGUAUAUUAAAGUUGUUGCAGUUAAAAAGCUCGUAGUUGAAUUUCGGGAUCAAUUAAUUGGUCGUGCCUCUGGUACGUACUGAUUUUAUUGGUUUCUCCCUUCUGAAGAACCAUGAUGUCAUUAAUUUGGUGUCGUGGAGAAUCAGGACUGUUACUUUGAAAAAAUUAGAGUGUUUAAAGCAAGCUAACGCUUGAAUACAUUAGCAUGGAAUAAUGAAAUAGGACGUUUGAUCCUAUUUUGUUGGUUUCUAGGAUCGACGUAAUGAUUAAUAGGGAUAGUUGGGGGCAUUAGUAUUCAAUUGUCAGAGGUGAAAUUCUUGGAUUUAUUGAAGACUAACUACUGCGAAAGCAUUUGCCAAGGAUGUUUUCAUUAAUCAAGAACGAAAGUUAGGGGAUCGAAGACGAUCAGAUACCGUCGUAGUCUUAACCAUAAACUAUGCCGACUAGGGAUCGGAUGAUGUUAAUUUUUUAAUGACUCAUUC
rnacentral:rRNA from 1 species